rnacentral:rRNA from 1 species
GAUGAACGCUGGCGGCGUGCCUAAUACAUGCAAGUCGAGCGAACAGACGAGGAGCUUGCUCCUCUGACGUUAGCGGCGGACGGGUGAGUAACACGUGGAUAACCUACCUAUAAGACUGGGAUAACUUCGGGAAACCGGAGCUAAUACCGGAUAAUAUAUUGAACCGCAUGGUUCAAUAGUGAAAGACGGUUUUGCUGUCACUUAUAGAUGGAUCCGCGCCGCAUUAGCUAGUUGGUAAGGUAACGGCUUACCAAGGCAACGAUGCGUAGCCGACCUGAGAGGGUGGUCGGCCACACGGGAGCGUAGCCACGGUCCAGACUCCUGAGGGAGGCAGCAGUAUUGAAUCUUCCGCAAUGGUCGAAAGCUUUACGGAGCAACGCCGCGUGAGUGAUGAAGGUCUUCGGAUCGUAAAACCCUGUUAUUAGGUAAGAACAAAUGUGUAAGUAACUGUGCACGUCUUGACGGUACCUAAUCAGAAAGCCACGGCUAACUACGUG